UACGGGGGGGGCAAGCGUUGUUCGGAAUUACUGGGCGUAAAGGGCGCGUAGGCGGCCUUCUAAGUCAGACGUGAAAUCCCUCGGCUCAACCGAGGAACUGCGUCUGAUACUGGAAGGCUUGAAUCCGGGAGAGGGAUGUGGAAUUCCAGGUGUAGCGGUGAAAUGCGUAGAUAUCUGGAGGAACACCGGUGGCGAAGGCGGCAUCCUGGACCGGUAUUGACGCUGAGGCGCGAAAGCUAGGGGAGCAAACGGGG
rnacentral:rRNA from 1 species